rnacentral:rRNA from 1 species
AAUGAACGCUGGCGGCAUGCCUAACACAUGCAAGUCGAACGAAGGCUUCGGCCUUAGUGGCGCACGGGUGCGUAACGCGUGGGAAUCUGCCCCUUGGUUCGGAAUAACAGUUAGAAAUGACUGCUAAUACCGGGUGAUGACGUAAGUCCAAAGAUUUAUCGCCGAGGGAUGAGACCGCGUAGGAUUAGCUAGUUGGUGUGGUAAGAGCGCACCAAGGCGACGAUCCUUAGCUGGUCUGAGAGGAUGAUCAGCCACACUGGGACUGAGACACGGCCCAGACUCCUACGGGAGGCAGCAGUGGGGAAUAUUGGACAAUGGGCGAAAGCCUGAUCCAGCAAUGCCGCGUGAGUGAUGAAGGCCUUAGGGUUGUAAAGCUCUUUUACCCGGGAUGAUAAUGACAGUACCGGGAGAAUAAGCUCCGGCUAACUCCGUGCCAGCAGCCGCCGUAA